rnacentral:misc_RNA from 1 species
UUCAUGGUUUUCACUUAUUUACUGGCGAUGUAAAACAUAUUCUAUCCACUGAGUAGCAUAGGCUGAGAAAUAUGACACACUUGAAUAGGGCAUUGUUUCAGCAUAGGGUAUAGUUCCGGCAUAGGGCAUAGUUCCAGCAUAUCGCAUAGGGCACAGUUCAAACUCACUUUGAGGCUUAGCUAUGGCAGAGAAUUGGACAACACAGGAAGUAGCUAACUGGCUCCAGCAAAACAGCUUCGGCAAAUACGUUGGUGAACUAACUGAAGUCCACAAGAUAGAUGGCGCUGCAUUGUUAACUCUAACAGAAGAUGACCUUCGUCAACCGCCCCUACAGAUUCGGGUUCUAGGAGAUAUAAAACGUUUAAUUCUAGCUGUAAAAAAAUUACAAAGAGACAAUCAAGCUGCUAUUGAUUUAAUGGGUUACCACAAUCAAGUGUUUCAGGUCGCAAGAAAUGACCCUCAGAAUGGAAGUCCGGCGAUUUUAAGAGACAAUUUACAACAUCGUCACUUUGAGCGUUUAGAUAGUGACUCAGUUUACUCAGAAGAUGGCACUGAUAUGGCAGUCGAUACAAAAUGUCGCCUUUUAAGGAAUCCACGUCCUGAAUACUGGAAAACAGCACUUAGUUUUGUAUACGCUUUCACGGUGUUUUUAUUAACUGCAUUUAUGAUGGCGGUGUCCCAUGAUCGGGUGCCCGACCCAGAGAAGUACCCCCCUCUGCCUGAUAUAUUUUUAGACAAUAUGCCAUAUGUACCAUGGGCAUUUGAGAUAUGUGAGGUGAUAGCUGUCAUUAUGAUGAGCAUAUUUGGUGGAUUGUUGGUGUUUCAUAGACACAGAUUUAUAAUACUGAGGCGUUGGUUCUCUCUCUGUGGGACUGUGUUUCUGUUGAGAAGUAUUACUAUGUUCAUCACAUCACUCUCUGUACCAGGAAUUCAUCUGCAGUGUGAGAGGCAUCCAAGCAACAUGUCUUAUCCUUUAAAGAAACAUGGGGAUAUAUGGGGCCAACUUUCUAAGGCCAUUGAGAUCUGGAAAGGAUUUGGAAUGACCCUACAGGGUGUCAGGACUUGUGGUGACUACAUGUUUAGUGGGCAUACAGUCGUUCUCACAAUGUUGAACUUCUUUAUUACUGAAUAUUCUCCGCGGAAGAUGCAUCUUCUUCAUACAAUGUCCUGGGUGCUCCAUCUAUUUGGCUGUUUCUUCAUCCUCGCUGCACACGAACAUUACUCAAUUGACGUAUUCGUUGCAUUCUACAUCUCAUCUCGAUUAUUCUUAUACUAUCACUCAUUGGCUAAUAACAAGGCCUUGAGUAAUUCCGAUUAUAAACGAGUUAGGAUUUGGUUCCCGAUGUUUUCAUUUUUUGAAUCUGAGUGCAGUGGCAUCGUCCCAAAUGAAUAUGAGUGGCCGCUACCUUGGCCGAGUAAAAUUAAGUCGUAUUUUACGGAGCAUUUAACCAAUGGGAAAAAGAGGUUAUAGAGAAUAUUUGGUCACUAGAGGCGGGAAAUCUGUUUUCUCUCCGUAUUCUCUCUAACAGUCUAAUGAGCGUAUGGUUUCAAUGAGUGUACAUGCGACUUAGGUUCAACAUGAUCUCAAGAAAACACAAAGUGUAAUGCAUUGGUUUCGAUUAUUUACACAUUAGAUAACA